CCUACGGGGGGCAGCAGUGAGGAAUAUUGGUCAAUGGACGAGAGUCUGAACCAGCCAAGUAGCGUGAAGGAUGACUGCCCUAUGGGUUGUAAACUUCUUUUAUAUGGGAAUAAAAUGUUCCACGUGUGGGAUUUUGUAUGUACCAUAUGAAUAAGGAUCGGCUAACUCCGUGCCAGCAGCCGCGGUAAUACGGAGGAUCCGAGCGUUAUCCGGAUUUAGUGGGUUUAAAGGGUGCGUAGGUGGAUUGUUAAGUCAGUGGUGAAAGGUUGGGGCUCAACCGUAAAAUGGCAUUUGAUACUGGCAGUCUUGAGUACAGUAGAGGUAGGCGGAAUGCGUGGUGUAGCGGUGAAAUGCUUAGAGAUCACGAAGAACUCCGAUUGCGAAGGCAGCUCACUGAACUGCAACUGACACUGAGGCUCGAAAGUGUGGGGAGCAAACAGGAUUAGAUACCCUAGUAGUC
rnacentral:rRNA from 1 species